UGCAGAAAAAAAUCCAUGAACUCGCCAGUACAGAGGAGUUGAAGCAGAAAAUACUCCAUAGGAUCACCAUCGCACGUGACUGUUGCUUCGCCUACGAUGAACUUGGAGUGGCGGUGCUCAAAAAGAUGAUUGUGCCCAUCGUAUCUGGAGCCACACCAUGCGCGUCGACGAAAGCCGGAAUCCCGGAUCCCGUCGAGAGGGACCUGGCAGAGAAGCAGUGCUUCAAGGAGGUGGCCUUCCAAACGCAGGCAACUGUGGGACUGACUCCUGAAGAAAACGCCACCUUCAAGGAAGUCUCCACAUGCAUCUUUUCUCGACUGCCGGCAGUGAAUGCCUGAACUGUCGUCGAAAAGAACGCGACGGUUCGGCGAGCCCGAGCCCCAUGCGUUCGCCUCCGUCCACAGAUACGAUAUAAGUCACUGCGACUCUGCAGUGUUACUCCCACAGCGGUUUCUCAAUUCCCAUGUC